GGGUGAGUAACGCGUGGGAAACCUGCCCUUCGAUUGGGGAUAACACUUCUAACGGAGUGCUAAUACCGAAUAUGAUCUUACUGACGCAUGUCAGUUUGAUUAAAGGCGGCCUCUGCUUGCAUGCUGUCGUCGAAGGAUGGUCCCGCGUCCCAUUAGCUUGUUGGUGAGGUAACGGCUCACCAAGGCUUUGAUGGGUAGCCGGCCUUAGCGGGCGAUCGGCCACACUGGGACUGAGAUACGGCCCAGACUCC
rnacentral:rRNA from 1 species